AUUGAACGCUGGCGGCAUGCCUUACACAUGCAAGUCGAACGGCAGCGGGGGAGAAGCUUGCUUUUCCUGCCGGCGAGUGGCGAACGGGUGAGUAAUACAUCGGAACGUGCCCUGUAGUGGGGGAUAACUAGUCGAAAGAUUAGCUAAUACCGCAUACAACCGGAGGGGGAAAGUGGGGGACCGCAAGGCUGCAUGCUAUAGGAGCGGCCGAUGUCUGAUUAGCUAGUUGGUGGGGUAAAGGCCUACCAAGGCGACGAUCAGUAGCUGGUCUGAGAGGACGAUCAGCCACACUGGGACUGAGACACGGCCCAGACUCCUACGGGAGGCAGCAGUGGGGAAUUUUGGACAAUGGGCGAAAGCCUGAUCCAGCAAUGCCGCGUGUGUGAAGAAGGCCUUCGGGUUGUAAAGCACUUUUGUCCGGAAAGAAAUGGCUCUGGUUAAUACCUGGGGUCGAUGACGGUACCGGAAGAAUAAGGACCGGCUAACUACGUGCCAGCCGCCGCAGUAA
rnacentral:rRNA from 1 species